CCUACGGGUGGCAGCAGUGAGGAAUAUUGGUCAAUGGUCGCGAGCCUGAACCAGCCAAGCAGCGUGAGGGAGGAAUGUCCUACGGAUUGUAAACCUCUUUUAUAAGGGAAUAAAGUCAGGCACGUGUGCCUGUUUGAGUGUACUUGAUGAAUAAGCAUCGGCUAACUCCGUGCCAGCAGCCGCGGUAAUACGGAGGAUCCGAGCGUUAUCCGGAUUUAUUGGGUUUAAAGGGUGCGUAGGUGGUUUGUUAAGUCAGUUGUGAAAGAUUGGGGCUCAACCGUAAAAUUGCAGUUGAUACUGGCAGUCUUGAGUGCAGGUGAGGUAGGCGGAAUGCGUGGUGUAGCGGUGAAAUGCUUAGAUAUCACGAAGAACUCCGAUUGCGAAGGCAGCUUACUAAACUGCCACUGACGUUGAUGCUCGAAAGUGUGGGUAUCAAACAGGAUUAGAUACCCCUGUAGUC
rnacentral:rRNA from 1 species